GCAGCCUGGAUGGCGAGGGCUGACAGGGAGGCCUGUGGAGCCCCACAGGUUGGAGGCACUUAGGACCCCACCUGGAAGGUCGGUUCUGCAUCCAUCUCCCUGAGCCUUUUCUCUCUCCAUGGGCCCCUCUGUGCGGCCGCGGCGCUAAAAGCUGCUAGAAUUAGCAGGGCUGAGAACCGUCCUCAGGCGCCAGUACGAGCCUCGCUCUUGUUUCCUGCUCGAAAGAAGACACCUCGUUACCCAAGUUGGGAGGACACUCUGUGCCAUCUGCUCUUGGCCCCUUGGGUCCCAGAGCUGCUUCUGACACACAGGCUUUUUCACAGCCCGCCGCACAUGGCUACUGGCCAUGAGGCGGUGAUGGUGCCUGGCACACAGAUGUGGCUGGUGCCUGAGAGGCUUGAGGUCGGCCCCAGGGGAGGGGCCUUGGCCUGGGCCCAGCACACAGUCCUCCAGUGUCCCAGGGAGGCACCACUCAGAACCAGAAGAUGAAAAUGUUUGGCUCUGGGGGGGAAUUAUGCAAAUUAUCUACCUGGUUUCUGUGUUUGAAAAUACCCAGAUGUUGGCUUCCAAAUCAGAAAGCUGUCUUGGGGCAAUCUCUAUUCCCUGUCUGGUUCAGGUGGUCCUUUCUACAAACACUGGAGACCGGGUUUUGACUGUCAGCCUCCUGUCUGGCCCUCCCCAGCAACGUCGCUAAGCCAGAGGGCUGGCCCUCCCCGUCCACCUUCUCCAGGACAGGCUCCAUGCCGACCACAACCCACCAAGCCACAUAGAGGGCCAUACUCCCCACUUCCUGCAGCGCCCAGAUCCACCCAAUGCUGUACCCACCAUGCUGGGCUGAUGCCUCAGGCUGAGCUGAGAUCAGUCUUGGUGUUCUCCCUUCUUCCUGCUUCAAAAAUUGCAUAGAUUCGUGGUUUGAAGUGAACAGAUCUUGUCCAGAACAUCCCGCGGACUGACCCUGCUGGGCUCGCUUGCUGACUCCUCUCAAAGGGACAGCCAGCCCCCGUUCCUGGGAGGAGGCAUCGGACACGGGCAGAGCUGAGCUGGGGACACCGGUGGGAACAGGGCACCCCUUCUGCACUGACUUCCAGAGAAUGGUUCUCCCUUUCUCCCUGAGGACACCAAACUGGAUGAGAGCGAGUUUGAGAGAAGAAUCCACUGCUAUCCUUCCCCUCACCCCUCAUCCCAGGAGGGAAAGGGCAUUUUCUUUUACACCUUUCAAAGGCGUUGUGGGUCUGUCUAAAGUGUUUACAAAAAAAAAAAAUUAUAAAAAAAAAGUCUAGUGUCGACUGGUGUUUUCCCUCGUGAUGUUUACAGAUUGCCGUCUGCCGCCCGGCUAGAACCCACUCAGUGACAGAGACGAACGGGGCUGCGCGCACGGGCUCCUCCUGUGCCCAGCGCCCUCCUGUCGGCCCUCUCUAUCACCGACCACUCUGCCUUGGGUGGUUUUUUGUUUUGUUUUGUUUUUGGGUUGUGGUUGUUUGUUUGUUUCCUCCAUUUUUCUGGCUUGGUUUUGCACUUUUCUCCCCUUGGGACCCUGAUAUGUAACUUCAUUGCCAAAAAAACAACCCAUCAAGGAUCUUCUCCUCUCCAUUCCCUUUUCCUCUCCCUCCUUCGCUCCUGGUUCUGGUCAGUUCAGAGGAUUUAACAAUCACAAGUGUCCUGCAAAAAUGCCUGAACAUUUUUCUUAGACCCUUGUGGAUUUUUUUUCCCGGAAAACUUAAACAGAUAAAAGACUUAUUAAAGGAAUAUGUA